rnacentral:rRNA from 1 species
UGAAUACGAGAUGCUACGGCGUCGAAGCAGUCUAUGUCAUACUUCCAAGAAAAGCUUGCACUGUCAUAAACAAAUAAUGCCUGUACCAUAACCGACACAGGUGGGUAGGUAGAGUAUACUAAGGGGCGCGAGAUAACUCUCUCUAAGGAACUCGGCAAAAUGACUCCGUAACUUCGGGAGAAGGAGUGCCUUAUUUAUAAGGUUGCAAUAACAAGAUCCAAGCAACUGUUUACCAAAAACACAGGUCUCCGCUAAGUCGUAAGACGAUGUAUGGGGGCUGACGCCUGCCCAGUGCCAGAAGGUUAAAGAAGUUGGUUAGCAUCCGCGAAGCUGAUAACUGAAGCCCUGGUGAACGGCGGCCGUAACAAUAACGGUCCUAAGGUAGCGAAAUUCCUUGUCGGGUAAGUUCCGACCCGCACGAAAGGCGUAAUGAUUUGGAUACUGUCUCGGAGAGGGGCUCGGUGAAAUAGACUUGUCUGUGAAGAUGCGGACUACCUGCACCAGGACAGAAAGACCCUAUGAAGCUUUACUGUAACCUGAAAUUGAAAUUGGACUUUACUUGCGCAGUAUAGGUGGGAGGCGUUGAGAAUAUUCUUGCGGGAUUAUUGGAGCCAUCAGUGAGAUACCACUCUUGUAAUGUUAGAUUUCUAACUUUGUAUCAUUAUCUGGUCAAAGAACAGUUUCAGGCGGGCAGUUUGACUGGGGCGGUCGCCUCCUAAACGGUAACGGAGGCGCACAAAGGUUUCCUCUGAACGGGUAGAAAUCGUAUCUAGAGUGUAAAGGCAUAAGGAAGCUUGACUGUGAGACCUACAAGUCGAGCAGGGACGAAAGUCGGUCUUAGUGAUCUGACGGUGCUGAGUGGAAAGGCCGUCACUCAACGGAUAAAAGUUACUCUAAGGAUAACAGGCUGAUCUCCCCCAAGAGUUCACAUCGACGGGGAGGUUUGGCACCUCGAUGUCGGCUCAUCGCAUCCUGGGGCGGUAGUACGUCCCAAGGGUUGGGCUGUUCGCCCAUGAAAUCGGUACGCGAGCUGGGUUCAGAACGUCGUGAGACAGUUCGGUCCAUAUCCGGUGUAGGCGUUAGAAUAUUGAGAGGAGCCUUCUUUAGUACGAGAGGACCGAGAAGGACAUACCUCUGGUGUACCAGUUAUCGUGCCAACGGUAAACGCUGGGUAGCUAUGUGUGGAGUGGAUAACCGCUGAAAGCAUCUAAGUGGGAAGCCCACCUCAAGAUAAGUAUUCUCU